UUUUAGAUUAUAAUUUAAAGUCUAACCUGCCCACUGAUUUAAUUAUUUAAAGGCCGCAGUAUUUUGACUGUGCAAAGGUAGCAUAAUCAUUUGUCUUUUAAUUGAAGGCUGGAAUGAAUGGUUGAAUGAAGUAUUAACUGUCUCAAUUUUAUAAAUUAAGAAUUUAGCUUUUUAAUCAAAAGGUUUAAAUAAAAUUAAAAGACGAGAAGACCCUAUAGAUUUUUAUAAUAUUUAGUAUUAAUUUUAUUAAGUAAAAAAUUUUAUAAUUAUAUUAUUUAUUAUUUGAUUGGGGUGAUUAAAAAAUUUAAUAAACUUUUUUUUAUUAUAAACAUUAAUAUAUGAAUACUUGAUCCAGUUUUAUUGAUUAUAAGAUUAAAUUACCUUAGGGAUAACAGCGUAAUUUUUUUAGAGAGUUCUUAUCGAUAAAAAAGAUUGCGACCUCGAUGUUGAAUUAAAGGUUAUUUUUAAAUGCAGAAGUUUAAAGUUUAGGUCUGUUCGACCUUUAAAUCUUU
rnacentral:rRNA from 1 species